rnacentral:piRNA from 1 species
UNGGUGUUGCCCGAAGGCACUUCGUAAGCUG